rnacentral:rRNA from 1 species
AUACAUGCAAGUCGAGCGGACCGACGGGAGCUUGCUCCCUUAGGUCAGCGGCGGACGGGUGAGUAACACGUGGGUAACCUGCCUGUAAGACUGGGAUAACUCCGGGAAACCGGGGCUAAUACCGGAUGCUUGAUUGAACCGCAUGGUUCAAUCAUGAAAGGCGGCUUCGGCUGCCGUUUACAGAUGGACCCGCGGCGCAUUAGCUAGUUGGUGAGGUAACGGCUCACCAAGGCGACGAUGCGUAGCCGACCUGAGAGGGUGAUCGGCCACACUGGGACUGAGACACGGCCCAGACUCCUACGGGAGGCAGCAGUAGGGAAUCUUCCGCAAUGGACGAAAGUCUGACGGAGCAACGCCGCGUGAGUGAUGAAGGUUUUCGGAUCGUAAAGCUCUGUUGUUAGGGAAGAACAAGUACCGUUCGAAUAGGGCGGUACCUUGACGGUACCUAACCAGAAAGCCACGGCUAACUACGUGCCAGCAGCCGCGGUAAUACGUAGGUGGCAAGCGUUGUCCGGAAUUAUUGGGCGUAAAGCGCGCGCAGGCGGUUUCUUAAGUCUGAUGUGAAAGCCCCCGGCUCAACCGGGGAGGGUCAUUGGAAACUGGGGAACUUGAGUGCAAAAAGGAGAGU